GUUAUCCGAAAAACCCACAUUCCAUAUUAGAAUAGUAGAGCAAAGAUUAAUGUAGCUCCUGCACAAAGAUAACAUGCAAAUUUGAGAACUGUUCCAUUUUUUA
rnacentral:snRNA from 1 species